UACGAGAGGCCCAAACGUUAUUCGGAAUUACUGGGCUUAAAGAGUUCGUAGGCGGCGCGGAAAGUAGGGUGUGAAAGCCCUCGGCUCAACCGAGGAAUUGCGCUCUAAACUACCGUGCUCGAGGAAUCUAGAGGUGAGCGGAACUGAUGGUGGAGCGGUGAAAUGCGUUGAUAUCAUCAGGAACACCGGAGGCGAAGGCGGCUCACUGGGGAUUUCUGACGCUGAGGAACGAAAGCCAGGGAGCAAACGGG
rnacentral:rRNA from 1 species